rnacentral:tRNA from 1 species
ACCAUCGUUGUAAUUCAACUACAAAAACA